rnacentral:rRNA from 1 species
UACGUAGGGGGGCAAGCGUUGUCCGGAAUUAUUGGGCGUAAAGCGCGUGUAGGCGGCCAGAAAAGUCCGCUGUGAAAACUCGAGGCUCAACUUCGAGCUGUCGGUGGAAACUUUCUGGCUAGAGUCCGGAAGAGGAGAAUGGAAUUCCUGGUGUAGCGGUGAAAUGCGCAGAUAUCAGGAAGAACACCCGUGGCGAAGGCGGUUCUCUGGGACGGUACUGACGCUGAGACGCGAAAGCGUGGGGAGCGAACAGG